rnacentral:rRNA from 1 species
CCUGAUCAGCCAUGCCGCGUGAGUGAAGAAGGCCUUCGGGUUGUAAAGCUCUUUCAGCCGGAACGAAACGGUCACGGCUAAUACCUGUGACUACUGACGGUACCGGAAGAAGAAGCACCGGCUAACUACGUGCCAGCAGCCGCGGUAAU